AGUGCUCAGCAGGCAGAACUGUCACACUGCGCACCUGGGACCUGACUGGAAGCAAAGAGAAGCUAUUCUUCAGAACCCAGCAAAACACCUUCCUUGGACUUUAUAGGCACCUCAGUGUUUGCUGACUGAGCCAGGCAACUGAUCAACAUAUUUCAUUAUUUUCCUGAAGAAUUACCACUACCCUUUGAGGUGAACCCCUAAGCUGGGAUGGACUGUCGCAUGGCCGUCGGUGCCUGUGUCUCCCCGUCUCCAAGCCUCCUCUCUCCCUCCCAGUGCCCCGUCAUCUUCAUCCCACUAGAAGCCCAAGCCUCUUCUAGUGACCCUACAUUCUCAGAGCCCCGAAGCAGAGAACAGAAGCUGCUUCUACAGCCGCUCCAGACCCAGAGGCCAGACCUCACUUGUGAGCUGUUUAC
ensembl:lncRNA LINC01077 long intergenic non-protein coding RNA 1077